UAAUACGUAGGGUGCGAGCGUUAAUCGGAAUUACUGGGCGUAAAGCGUGCGCAGGCGGUGAUGUAAGACAGAUGUGAAAUCCCCGGGCUCAACCUGGGACCUGCAUUUGUGACUGCAUCGCUAGAGUACGGCAGAGGGGGAUGGAAUUCCGCGUGUAGCAGUGAAAUGCGUAGAUAUGCGGAGGAACACCGAUGGCGAAGGCAAUCCCCUGGGCCUGUACUGACGCUCAUGCACGAAAGCGUGGGGAGCAAACAGGAUUAGAUACCCUGGUAGUCCACGCCCUAAACGAUGUCAACUGGUUGUUGGGAAUUCACUUUCUCAGUAACGAAGCUAACGCGUGAAGUUGACCGCCUGGGGAGUACGGCCGCAAGGUUG
rnacentral:rRNA from 1 species